AGGGUUCGAUUCUGGCUCAGGAUGAACGCUAGCGGCAGGCUUAACACAUGCAAGUCGAGGGGCAGCGGGAUGUAGCAAUACAUUGCCGGCGACCGGCGGGUGGGUGCGUAACGCGUAUGCAACCUACCUUAUACAGGGAAUAACUUUCGAAGGGAGACUAACACCCAUGGUAUUGAUUUAAGGCAUCUUUAGAUUAAUUAAAUAUUUAUAGGUAUAAGAUGGGCAUGCGUAUGAUUAGCUAGUUGGUAAGGUAACGGCUUACCAAGGCGACGAUCAUUAGGGGUUCUGAGAGGAAGGUCCCCCACACUGGUACUAAGACACGGACCAGACUCCUACGGGAGGCAGCAGUGAGGAAUAUUGGUCAAUGGGCGCAAGCCUGAACCAGCCAUGCCGCGUGCAGGAAGACGGCCUUAUGGGUUGUAAACUGCUUUUACAUAAGACUAACCGUAUAUUUGCGAAUAUACCUGAAUGUAUUAUGAGAAUAAGGAUCGGCUAACUCCGUGCCAGCCGCCGC
rnacentral:rRNA from 1 species